GCAGCCUGGCCUGCACUUCUUUUAUCAAGUGGUUAGUGGCCUGCCCAGGAGACAUAAAAAUAUUCUUCUAAGGACAGGUGAGAAGAGCAGAAACGUGCUCUUCAGAGAUCAUUGUCCCUGGUCGACAUCCAGGAGAUUUCCAGAGAUCUAUUCAGCCUCACUUCUGUGCAGGUGCAGUGCCACUGAGCUACAUCCCUGGACCAAAAUGAAAUUAUUUUGAACCACCAAGAUUAAUAACAGUAGAAAGGCUCCUUACUGGAUAAGAAGGUUUCAUCAUGAAAAGGAGGAAGCCCAAACUGAAGUGAGUUACAAACCUUGUCACCAACAGCAAAUAGUGGUUGGGCCCUGAUCUGAGCACAAUGAAGAAGAACAAAAGGAAUUCAAUCAAUGAGCAUGACCCAGGACAUCUCCAAAAUAUGUUGGACGGAGGAGAGUAUGCCCCUUUUGUAUCUCCUCCCAUGCUAGAAAGCAAUUUUAUUCAGGUCAACAGGAGAGGUGAAUCCAUUUAUGUUCAUAACCGAGCCAACUGGGUGACUGUGGGCAUCUGUUCUUCCAGUUCUACCCAUAAGAUCCCCAAUGUGAUGCUGCUGGCACAUCUGAAACCCACCGCACAAAAACAUGGUGAAUCCCUGUUUAAAAGCCUCCUGACAUCUCCUUCUACAGAGAAGCUGGUGCUCACCAGGUUUCUUCCUCUGCAGUUUGUGACUCUUUCUGUGCAUGAUGCUGAGAAUAUGCGCCUCAAAGUAAAGCUGGUGAGUGGUAGAGCCUACUACUUGCAACUUUGCGUCCCUGCGAAUAAACAAGAUGCCUUAUUUUCUCAAUGGAUGGAUCUCAUCUGCCUCUUAAAUCAGGAGAAAGCCAAAGCUUCCAAAGUGUCAGAAGUCUCAAGCCUCUCAGAAAUCACAAACAGCACAGAAGUCACAAGCUCCAUGGCCAUCAUGGAUAUUACAGCCUUUGCAGAUAUACAGACCCCACACAUGUACCUAUGCACAGAACCUGUACAUGUCACAGAAAGCAUAAGUCUGUCAGAGUUCACAGAUGUUACGGACAUUACAGAUGUCACAGAUAUUCCAGAAAAUGAGGUCACAGAGUUGCCUGAUGUUAGAAUUGUCACGGAAGUCACGGAAGUCGUGGAAGCCAUAGAAGCCACAGAAGUCAAAAAUAGCUCUGAUGCCACAAAUGUCUCAGGGGUCACUGUGGUGUUCGAAAACGAUGACAUACUAAGGGCCAAGCAAGAGGAAAAGGAAAAAGUAGGCAAUGUUCUGAAGCCAGGAUUUCGACGAGAUAUAAGAAGUAAAUGUGAAUUCAAACAAACCUCAAAACAUGUCACCAUCUCAAACCUAACACUGACUUUUGAAGGCGAAAGAUGUUUGCAAACUACCUUGACUCCAAUAAAAAGUGAGACAAACAUAUCCAAAGAGAUGAGUGAUAAAACCUCUGAAGAAAAGAAGACUGAUUUUAAAGACACAGCUCUCAAAACGGUAGAAUCCAGGAGCAUGAGACCUGAUUCAGACACUUCAGGGCGCUGUGCUGACUACAGUCACUACCAGAAGACAAAGGAGGCUAGAAGUCCAGAGACCAUUACGAAGCUCUUAUAAUGGUCUAGAUGGAGGAUGCCAGAGACAUGAACCAAGUAAGAAGCAGUUUGGAUGGAAAGGACGAGGGCUGGUGACACAGGCCUGUAAUCCCAGCAUUCAGGAGGCUGAGGGAGGAGGAUCGCCACGAGUUUGAGGCCAUCUUGGGCUACAUUGUAAGUUCAAGGCCAACUUAAGCGAUAUACAGAGACCAUCUCAAACAAGCACACACACAAAAAAAAAAUGGAAAGAAGGAGACGACAUCACAGUUGACAAGUUAUUGAUGGUCUACCUACGGGGACAAAAGAAAACACUGGCGAUGAUAGUUUGGGAGACAACAUGAUUAGAAAGCCUAAGUCCAUGAACAACCUGGGAAAAGGAACUGGAGCAAAUUUGGAAAGGAAAGAUGAGGAAUUCAGCUGUUGGAACUAAAGCUAGAAGCAAAAGCCACAGGCUUGAAUAGUUUUUCAGUUUUCCCCCUGAUCGGCAUUUCUUUUCCCCAUGUCCCCCUCCUCUAAAUCACUUUUACCUUUCAUGCACCCCUAUUAACCCCUAUUGCUCUUCACCCCAAGAAAAACAGAUUAGCCAAGUCUUAAUCCCUCCUCUCAUUAAAUUUAGUCUGAGCGUAGACUACAAAUGAGUCUGUAAUUCCAAUUUCUCCUUUACCUAGAAGCCGAUCUCUUAACUGCUCUCUCAGUGGUUAAAAACAAAUUCCUGGCACUGUUAACUGCUCCUGAUCGGCGCCACCCAGCUCCCGGGCAAUGCUAGUUGGGAGCAUGAUCUCUAAAUUCAUCUGUCACACCUCUCAGCAGUUUCUCUUGCAUUUUCUGCCUUCUGUGUAAGGUUUUGGUGACAGCAC